rnacentral:rRNA from 1 species
ACGAACGCUGGCGGCGUGCUUAACACAUGCAAGUCGAACGAUGAAGCCCAGCUUGCUGGGUGGAAGAGUGGCGAACGGGUGAGUAACACGUGAGUAACCUGCCUAUCACUCUGGGAUAAGCGCUGGAAACGGCGUCUAAUACUGGAUAUGUCCCAUCACCGCAUGGUGUGUGGGUGGAAAGAUUUAUCGGUGGUAGAUGGACUCGCGGCCUAUCAGCUUGUUGGUGAGGUAAUGGCUCACCAAGGCGACGACGGGUAGCCGGCCUGAGAGGGUGACCGGCCACACUGGGACUGAGACACGGCCCAGACUCCUACGGGAGGCAGCAGUGGGGAAUAUUGCACAAUGGGCGCAAGCCUGAUGCAGCAACGCCGCGUGAGGGAUGACGGCCUUCGGGUUGUAAACCUCUUUUAGUAGGGAAGAAGCGCAAGUGACGGUACCUGCAGAAAAAGCACCGGCUAACUACGU